UACGUAGGGGGCAAGCGUUGUCCGGAUUUAUUGGGCGUAAAGCGCUCGCAGGUGGUUCGUUGCGUCGUGCGUGAAAGGCCCCGGCUCAACUGGGGAGGGUCGUGCGAUACGGGCGGACUGGAGGCCAGUAGGGGGAUGCGGAAUUCCGGGUGUAGUGGUGGAAUGCGUAGAGAUCCGGAGGAACACCAGCGGCGAAGGCGGCAUCCUGGACUGGUCCUGACACUCAGGUGCGACAGCGUGGGGAGCAAACAGG
rnacentral:rRNA from 1 species